rnacentral:rRNA from 2 species
CACGCCCUAAACGAUGUUAACUAGUUGUUGGGAUGUAACAAUCUCAGUAACGCAGCCAACGCGAGAAGUUAACCGCCUGGGAAGUACGGUCGCAAGACUAAAACUCAAAGGAAUUGACGGGGACCCGCACAAGCGGUGGAUGAUGUGGAUUAAUUCGAUGCAACGCGAAAAACCUUACCUACCCUUGACAUGUCAGGAAGCUCUUGUAAUGAGAGCGUGCCCGCAAGGGAGCCUGAACACAGGUGC